CCUACGGGAGGCUGCAGUGGGGGAUAUUGCACAAUGGGGGGAACCCUGAUGCAGCGACGCCGCGUGGGUGAAGACGCGCCUCGGCGCGUAAAGCCCUGUCAGCUGGGAAGAAAAUGACGGUACCUGAAGAAGAAGCUCCGGCUAACUACGUGCCAGCAGCCGCGGUAAUACGUAGGGGGCAAGCGUUAUCCGGAUUUACUGGGGGUAAAGGGGGCGCAGACGGGGAUGCAAGCCAGGAGUGAAAGCCCGGGGCUCAACCCCGGGACUGCUCUUGGAACUGCGUGGCUGGAGUGCAGGAGGGGCAGGCGGAAUGCCUGGUGUAGCGGUGAAAUGCGUAGAUAUCAGGAGGAACACCGGUGGCGAAGGCGGCCGGCUGGACUGCAACUGACGUUGAGGCCCGAAAGCGUGGGGAGCAAACAGGAUUAGAUACCCCUGUAGUC
rnacentral:rRNA from 1 species